rnacentral:rRNA from 1 species
AUUGAACGCUGGCGGCAGGCCUAACACAUGCAAGUCGAGCGGAGCGGCGGACGGGUAAGUAAUGCCUAGGAAUCUGCCUGGUAGUGGGGGAUAACGUCCGGAAACGGGCGCUAAUACCGCAUACUAUCAGAUGAGCCUAGGUCGGAUUAGCUAGUUGGUGGGGUAAAGGCCUACCAAGGCGACGAUCCGUAACUGGUCUGAGGGGAUGAUCAGUCAACUGGGAACGGAGAACGGGUCAAGACCCCUACGGGAGGAAGCAGUGGGAAAUAUUGGACAAUGGGCGAAAGCCUGAGCCAGCCAUGCCGGGUGUGUGAAGAAGGUCUUCGGAUUGUAAAGCACUUUAAGUUGGGAGGCGUUACCAACAGAAUAAGCACCGGCUAACUUCGUGCCAGCAGCCGCGGUAAUC